rnacentral:pre_miRNA from 1 species
UUAAUUUAAAUUUGUAUGGAGUUGGAAAGUUUGCCUACGUUGGCCGUCAGAGGCGCUGUUCCAACUGCAUACAAAUUUUAAGUU